rnacentral:ncRNA from 21 species
UAAGAAUCGUAUAACCGGCGGAAGUGGAAUAACCACAGGGAGUACGAUUUUAAAAAGCCGACCGCCUGGGCAAAAAGA